AGGACGAACGCUGGCGGCGUGCUUAACACAUGCAAGUCGAGCGGUAAGGCCUUUCGGGGUACACGAGCGGCGAACGGGUGAGUAACACGUGGGUGAUCUGCCCUGCACUCUGGGAUAAGCCUGGGAAACUGGGUCUAAUACCGGAUAUGACCUGCUCUCGCAGUGGGGGGUGGGUGGAAAGAUUUAUCGGUGCAGGAUGGGCCCGCGGCCUAUCAGCUUGGUUGGUGGGUAAUGGCCUACCAAGGCGACGACGGGUAGCCGACCUGAGAGGGUCGACCGGCCACACUGGGACUGAGACACGGCCCAGACCUCCGUACGGGAGGCAGCGAGUGGGAAUAUUGCACGAAGUGGGACGAAAGCCUGAUGACAGCCGACGCCGGCGUGGAGG
rnacentral:rRNA from 1 species